UUAUAUGCUGCUUUCUAUGUCCUGGUUUGGAGACUGGUCUCCCUCUUACAGAGCUUUUCUUCCCUUUUUUGAGACUUGCCUUGUCCACCUAGGUGUGCCUCCCACCUACCUGCUCGGAGCUUGAAGUUCUUCAUAGGACCCUGUUGCUAGGGUUGGGCAGCUGGGCAGGGCUUCUGGGACUCGGGGCUGAUGGAGCAUCCGCUGGUUCACUCUUUCUUCCCAGGGGUACCUUGUCAAACAGGCAUAAGUGGCAGGCCAUGCCCUUUUAGGUGGGCACUGGUGAGGCAUUGGUGGACUGAAAGGUGUCACCAGGUUUUGGAGCAAAGGCCUCUCUCAGCCUCCUGUUGUUUCCAGACCACAGUGGCUGAGAAUCCCAAUAGAAGGGAAAUCUCCAAAAGAUUGAGACUUGCGCUGGGCUUCCUGUGGCCUGUGCUCGCCUCUUCUCAGACUGUUUGCUUUGCUCUGAGGUAGGUACUUGUCCCAUAUUCAGAUAGUCUGUGUUCAUUUAUGAUCCGAAGUUAUCUUGGGAUUUCUAUGCCCUCAUUUUGGAUGCCAAUGCAUGAGCAACUUGAAGGAUUUUUACAGAGAGUUGUGGUCAUUAAAGCUUAAUGUUAAUAGUUUUGAUGUUCAGUUUAUGUAUUGUAUCCUGAUGGCUGGAACCAGCUGCUAUGUGAGGGGCCGCAGUGAGCACUGAGCACAGAGCCUCUCACCUUAAGGGAGCCUGGGUGGUUACAUCAUUGCCUGCCUGCUCAGCCUUGAGACUGUGGGCCCAAGCGCCAGGCCAGGCUCUCCCCAGCACCCUCCUCCUCUGCCUCCAGAUCCAUGUGUCCUGGCUUUUCUUUUGCCAGCAUGCCAGUGUGGAGAGCGCCUCUUCCCACCAGUCCUCAGCCACCUUCUCCACGGCAGCGACCUCCGUCUCAAGUUCCGCAUCCUCAGGCGUCAGCCUGUCCAGUAGCAUGAACACCGCGAACAGCCUCUGUCUGGGUGGGACCCCCGCGAGUGCAUCCAGCAGCAGUAGCAGGGCCGCGCCCUUGGUGACCUCAGGCAAAGCACCCCCAAACUUACCUCAGGGGGUGCCUCCCCUGCUGCACAACCAGUACCUCGUAGGUCCCGGAGGACUGCUUCCUGCCUACCCGAUCUAUGGCUAUGACGAGCUCCAGAUGCUGCAGUCACGGCUGCCAGUGGACUACUAUGGAAUUCCCUUUGCUGCACCCACAGCGCUUGCCAGCCGAGAUGGGAGCCUAGCUAAUAAUCCAUAUCCAGGUGAUGUCACAAAGUUUGGCCGUGGGGACUCUGCAUCCCCUGUACCCGCUACCACACCAGCUCAGCCACAGCAGAGCCAAUCACAGACCCACCACACAGCCCAGCAGCCCUUCCUGAACCCUGCACUGCCACCUGGCUAUAGCUACACUGGUCUUCCCUACUACACAGGCAUGCCCAGUGCCUUCCAGUAUGGCCCCACCAUGUUUGUCCCUCCAGCCUCAGCCAAGCAACAUGGGGUGAACCUCAGCACUCCCACACCUCCCUUCCAGCAGGCCAGUGGUUAUGGCCAGCACGGCUACAGUACAGGUUUUGACGACCUGACCCAGGGGACAGCAGCAGGAGACUACUCCAAAGGUGGCUAUGCUGGAUCAUCGCAGGCACCAAACAAGUCUGCAGGUUCUGGGCCUGGCAAAGGAGUAUCAGUGUCUUCAAGCACCACUGGUCUACCUGAUAUGACUGGUUCUGUCUACAAUAAGACACAGACUUUUGACAAGCAGGGAUUUCAUGCAGGGACGCCUCCACCUUUCAGCCUGCCCUCGGCCUUGGGCUCCACUGGGCCCCUGGCCCCGGGAGCGGCCCCUGGCUAUGCACCCCCACCAUUCCUGCACAUCUUGCCAGCCCACCAGCAGCCCCACUCACAGCUGCUGCACCACCACCUUCCGCAGGAUGCACAGAGUGGCUCGGGUCAGCGCAGCCAGCCCAGCUCCCUGCAGCCCAAGUCUCAAGCCUCCAAACCUGCCUACGGCAACUCUCCAUACUGGACAAACUAAACCCAGAAGAGAGGGGUGGGCUGGGGCAAGGCUUAUCCUGGGCAGGAGAGAACACACGAGCACGUAUUUGGGAGCCCAGUGCCCUUUCCUAGAAUUCCCGACAUGUGUCAGCCAUGCCUCUGUGGGGAGUCUGCCUCCCAGACUGGCUACUGUAUGUAAUGUAUUUAUGUAUGUAUUUGUAAAUGUGAUAGAAGUCUGGGGGGGAGUUGGGGGACGGCGGCAGAUGUUAGCCAGGUCUGCCCUCCCCAUUCAAGCCCCUUCUCCACUGUAGCAAAAUAAGCACCCCCACCCCAUCUGCCUUCAGGUCUUCUUCACAGCCUGCACUGCCCAGUGGGCCACUAGGGGCAGUCUCUGGAAGGGCUGGUUCAAGGCUGUUUGGGUAUAGGGGUCAGGUACCAAUGAAGAAUCACGACUUGUCUCACUCCUUUGGAAAUUGUUUUCUUUCCUGUGUAAUUACUUCAUACCUCUGUUUUUUGAGAAACUGUUCCGUUUGUCAUCUGUCAUGGUCUCCUUCCACCAAAUCUUGGAUCUGGGAAUAGCAGCGGUAUCCCUCCACCCAACACAAGUAUGGCCACCUGUUUGUCUUCAUAUAGAACAGGGGCUUCUGGUCUGGUCAUGUCCCUAGAGACUUACUAGAGACUGGCUGACCAUG
rnacentral:sRNA from 1 species